CCUACGGGUGGCAGCAGUGAGGAAUAUUGGUCAAUGGGCGCUAGCCUGAACCAGCCAAGUAGCGUGAAGGAUGACGGCCCUAUGGGUUUUAAACUUCUUUUAUAUGGGAAUAAAGUGCAGUAUGUAUACUGCUUUGCAUGUACCUUAUGAAUAAGGAUCGGCUAUCUCCGUCCCAGCGGCCGCGGUAAUACGGAGGAUGCGAGCGUUACGCGGAUUUAUUGGGUUAAAGGGGUGCGCAGGCGGAUGUUUAAGUCAGCGGUAAAAUCGUGGGGCUAAUCCCCGUCCAGCAGUGGAAACUGGGGAUCUAGAGUGUGCGAGAGGUAUGCGGAAUGCGUGGUGUAGCGGUGAAAUGCAUAGAUAUCACGCAGAACCCCGAUUGCGAAGGCAGCAUACCGGUGCACAACUGACGCUCAGGCACGAAAGCGUGGGUAUCGAACAGGAUUAGAUACCCGAGUAGUC
rnacentral:rRNA from 1 species